rnacentral:rRNA from 1 species
UUUAUGGAGAGUUUGAUCCUGGCUCAGGAUGAACGCUGGCGGCGUGCCUAAUACAUGCAAGUCGAGCGAACGGACGAGAAGCUUGCUUCUCUGAUGUUAGCGGCGGACGGGUGAGUAACACGUGGAUAACCUACCUAUAAGACUGGGAUAACUUCGGGAAACCGGAGCUAAUACCGGAUAAUAUUUUGAACCGCAUGGUUCAAAAGUGAAAGACGGUCUUGCUGUCACUUAUAGAUGGAUCCGCGCUGCAUUAGCUAGUUGGUAAGGUAAUGGCUUACCAAGGCAACGAUGCAUAGCCGACCUGAGAGGGUGAUCGGCCACACUGGAACUGAGACACGGUCCAGACUCCUACGGGAGGCAGCAGUAGGGAAUCUUCCGCAAUGGGCGAAAGCCUGACGGAGCAACGCCGCGUGAGUGAUGAAGGUCUUCGGAUCGUAAAACUCUGUUAUUAGGGAAGAACAUAUGUGUAAGUAACUGUGCACAUCUUGACGGUACCUAAUCAGAAAGCCACGGCUAACUACGUGCCAGCAGCCGCGGUAAUACGUAGGUGGCAAGCGUUAUCCGGAAUUAUUGGGCGUAAAGCGCGCGUAGGCGGUUUUUUAAGUCUGAUGUGAAAGCCCACGGCUCAACCGUGGAGGGUCAUUGGAAACUGGAAAACUUGAGUGCAGAAGAGGAAAGUGGAAUUCCAUGUGUAGCGGUGAAAUGCGCAGAGAUAUGGAGGAACACCAGUGGCGAAGGCGACUUUCUGGUCUGUAACUGACGCUGAUGUGCGAAAGCGUGGGGAUCAAACAGGAUUAGAUACCCUGGUAGUCCACGCCGUAAACGAUGAGUGCUAAGUGUUAGGGGGUUUCCGCCCCUUAGUGCUGCAGCUAACGCAUUAAGCACUCCGCCUGGGGAGUACGACCGCAAGGUUGAAACUCAAAGGAAUUGACGGGGACCCGCACAAGCGGUGGAGCAUGUGGUUUAAUUCGAAGCAACGCGAAGAACCUUACCAAAUCUUGACAUCCUUUGACAACUCUAGAGAUAGAGCCUUCCCCUUCGGGGGACAAAGUGACAGGUGGUGCAUGGUUGUCGUCAGCUCGUGUCGUGAGAUGUUGGGUUAAGUCCCGCAACGAGCGCAACCCUUAAGCUUAGUUGCCAUCAUUAAGUUGGGCACUCUAAGUUGACUGCCGGUGACAAACCGGAGGAAGGUGGGGAUGACGUCAAAUCAUCAUGCCCCUUAUGAUUUGGGCUACACACGUGCUACAAUGGACAAUACAAAGGGCAGCGAAACCGCGAGGUCAAGCAAAUCCCAUAAAGUUGUUCUCAGUUCGGAUUGUAGUCUGCAACUCGACUACAUGAAGCUGGAAUCGCUAGUAAUCGUAGAUCAGCAUGCUACGGUGAAUACGUUCCCGGGUCUUGUACACACCGCCCGUCACACCACGAGAGUUUGUAACACCCGAAGCCGGUGGAGUAACCUUUUAGGAGCUAGCCGUCGAAGGUGGGACAAAUGAUUGGGGUGAAGUCGUAACAAGGUAGCCGUAUCGGAAGGUGCGGCUGGAUCACCUCCUUU